rnacentral:tRNA from 1 species
GCCUGGCUGGCUCAGUCUGUAGAGCAUGUGACUCUUGAUUUCAGGGUUGUGAGUUCAAGCCCCACAUUGGGUG